rnacentral:tRNA from 1 species
CGCGGGGUAGAGCAGUUGGUAGCUCAUCGGGCUCAUAACCCGGGGGUCACAGGUUCGAGUCCUGUCCCCGCUA